rnacentral:lncRNA from 1 species
GAUUAACUUACUGAAAAAUCAUUACAAGUAAAGCAUAAGAUGAAUAUGUAAUCUAAAGUUAUAUAAAAUUUGAACCAUAUCACAAUAAUAGAUAACUUAUGUAAAUUAUGAUAAUUGUUUAUUCAUUAACUACUACGAAUAAGUAAAAAUAAAAAUAUCAAACUGCUCAAUCUUCUUUAACCAUGGAUCCAUCACCGAUCAA